rnacentral:rRNA from 1 species
UACCAGCUCUCCGAGUUGUAGGGGUGAUUAUUGGGCUUAAAGCGUCCGUAGCUGGCUUAGCAAGUCUCCUGUUAAAUUCAGCGACCUAAUCGUUGAGCCGCGGGAGAUACUACUAGGCUAGGAGGCGGGAGAGGUCGACGGUACUUUCGGGGUAGGGGUGAAAUCCUAUAAUCCCGGGAGGACCACCAGUGGCGAAGGCUGUCGACUAGAACGCGCUCGACGGUGAGGGACGAAAGCUGGGGGAGCGAACCGGAUUAGAUACCCGGGUAGUCCCAGCUGUAAACUAUGCGGGCUAGGUGUUGGGGUGGCUACGGGCCACUUCAGUGCCGCAGGAAAGCCAUUAAGCCCGCCGCCUGGGGAGUACGGCCGCAAGGCUGAAACUUAAAGGAAUUGGCGGGGAGCACCACAAGGCGUGAAGCUUGCGGUUC